AAGUCGAACGGACAAUUGUUUAUAUCUUUGGUAUAAAUAAUUGUUAGUGGCAGACGGGUGAGUAAUGCGUAGGAAUCUACCUAGUAGUAUGGAAUAGCCAUUAGAAAUGAUGGGUAAUACUGUAUAAUCCCUGCGGGGGAAAGAUUUAUCGCUAUUAGAUGAGCCUACGUUAGAUUAGCUAGUUGGUAAGGUAAUGGCUUACCAAGGCUAUGAUCUAUAGCUGGUCUGAGAGGACGAUCAGCCACACUGGAACUGAGAUACGGUCCAGACUCCUACGGGAGGCAGCAGUGGGGAAUAUUGGACAAUGGGCGAAAGCCUGAUCCAGCUAUGCCGCGUGAGUGAAGAAGGCCUUCGGGUUGUAAAGCUCUUUCAAUAGGGAAGAUAAUGACGGUACCUACAGAAGAAGUCC
rnacentral:rRNA from 1 species